rnacentral:rRNA from 1 species
UACGUAGGGUGCAAGCGUUAAUCGGAAUUACUGGGCGUAAAGCGUGCGCAGGCGGCUUUGCAAGACAGAUGUGAAAUCCCCGGGCUCAACCUGGGAAUUGCGAUGGAGACUGCAAGGCUUGAAUCUGGCAGAGGGGGGUAGAAUUCCACGUGUAGCAGUGAAAUGCGUAGAGAUGUGGAGGAACACCGAUGGCGAAGGCAGCCCCCUGGGUCAAGAUUGACGCUCAUGCACGAAAGCGUGGGGAGCAAACAGG